rnacentral:rRNA from 1 species
GAUGAACGCUGGCGGCGUGCCUAACACAUGCAAGUCGAACGGGAGGCUUUUUCGGAAAGCCGAGAGUGGCGCACGGGUGAGUAACACGUAGCUUACCUGCCCCGAAGAGUGGGAUAACGCAUCGAAAGGUGUGCUAAUACCACAUAAGCUCACGAACUCCAGAGGUUCGUGAGAAAAGCUUUGGCGCUUUGGGAUGGGGCUGCGGCCCAUCAGCUAGUUGGUGAGGUAAUGGCUCACCAAGGCGACGACGGGUAGGGGGCCUGAGAGGGUGACCCCCCACACUGGGACGUGAGACACGGCCCACGACUCCUACGGGAGGGCAG